rnacentral:rRNA from 1 species
AUUGAACGCUGGCGGCGUGCCUAAUACAUGCAAGUCGAGCGAAUGGAUUAAGAGCUUGCUCUUAUGAAGUUAGCGGCGGACGGGUGAGUAACACGUGGGUAACCUGCCCAUAAGACUGGGAUAACUCCGGGAAACCGGGGCUAAUACCGGAUAACAUUUUGAACCGCAUGGUUCGAAAUUGAAAGGCGGCUUCGGCCGUCACUUAUGGAUGGACCCGCGUCGCAUUAGCUAGUUGGUGAGGUAACGGCUCACCAAGGCAACGAUGCGUAGCCGACCUGAGAGGGUGAGCGGCCACACUGGGACUGAGACACGGCCCAGACUCCUACGGGAGGCAGCAGUAGGGAAUCUUCCGCAAUGGACGAAAGUCUGACGGAGCAACGCCGCGUGAGUGAUGAAGGCUUUCGGGUCGUAAAACUCUGUUGUUAGGGAAGAACAAGUGCUAGUUGAAUAAGCUGGCACCUUGACGGUACCUAACCAGAAAGCCACGGCUAACUACGUGCCAGCCGCCGCCGUAA